UUAAUUCAGCGGAGGAGAAGAAACCAAAAGGGAUUCCCUUAGUAACGGCGAGUGAAAAAGGGAUGAAGCCCAGCCUGUAGGUCCCUUGUCCUUUACGGACUUGGGUACGAUGCCAGGUGUAACUGGAGGUAGAUUGUGGAUAAAGAGGAUGACGUUCAUUGUCGUAAGUCAGGUGAAAGUCCUGCCCCAGAGAGAGUGAUAGGCUCGUCUCGGCUUUGAAUACCCCCUUCUCUAUGUAUCCCGACCUUUACCUUCAUGCCUUGAGAGGUGAAGACUCCUUUCGGGGGGACACUCAUACCUUCUCUUGGCUUGGUUUAGAGUCACCGUACUUGAUAGUGUACGGUAAAGCAGGUGGUAGAGUCCAUCUAAGGCUAAAUACUUCUUCUUACAAGCGAGACCGAUAGUAAACAAGUACCGUGAGGGAAAGUUGAAAAGAACUUUGAAGAGAGAGUUCAAGCAGAACGUGAAACCGGUUCAUAGGUAAGCGGGUAAACACCUCGAAAGUUGACUCGGGGGGAUUACAGAGAUCAGCCGUGUGCUGUUUGAGAUGAGUGGAGGGAGGUUGCUCUGGUCAGGCUUGCCUGUUCCUAGGUAUAUCUCCUUUCCUCGCUUGGCACUAGAUCGGUGCAUUCUCUUGAGUUCCCUCCGCAGCCUGAAGCUCUGACCGUCAUUAAGGGUAGAGAGAAGGAAAAGCUCGGUGAGGCAGUUCUUGCGUCUGGAGACUUGGUGUGGUAAGGGAGCAAUCCCUUAUCCCCUAACGUCCUCUCCUACUGCCUUCCGUGACUGAGUAAAAACUCUACUUACCGCACUUGACGGUGUGAAAGACUAAACACAGCUUGCCUGUGUUGGUACUUGAGCGUAUGGUCAGGGAGACGUUGAUCAUGUUGGUUCAGUGGUUAAUGAGACUGCUGGUUGGCUUGAGAUUUUGGAUCCUUGUGGUUCAUGCUCGUGGUCAUUCCACUUCUCUGUACUUGCUGUCUUACCACAGGUUCAUGGUGCUCUCUGACUGAUAUCUCAUCUAGAGCUAGUAGGUCGGUAUUUACCUGUCCCGUCUUGAAACACGGACCAAGGAGUCCUCGUCAUGCACGAGUCUAACAGUCUUGAAUAGGCUGGGAGGCGAAGCGAAAGCAAUAGACAUGAUCCGGGAAGGGGUAACUCCUCUUCUCUGGCGAAGUGUCCACCCGAACUUUGGUUCGGAGUGUGAGUGCAUGGCUUGGUACCCGAAAGAUGGUGAACUAUGCCUGAGCAAGAUGAAGCCAGAGGAAACUCUGGUGGAGGUCUGCAGCGGUUCUGACGUGCAAAUCGAUCGUCAGACUUAGGUAUAGGGGCGAAAGACUAAUCGAACCAUCUAGUAGCUGGUUCCUCCCGAAGUUUCCCUCAGGAUAGCAGGAACUCAUAAAAAUGACUUCACAUAUAUAUGAGACAGUCUCAUCCGGUAAAGCGAAUGAUUAGAGGUAUUGGGGACGAAACGUCCUCAACCUAUUCUCAAACUUUCAAUGGGUGCAUUGCUUGACUUACACACGGUGGCUGCUUCGGUGGCCACUAGAGUCAGGGGAGUAACCUUAGUGUUCUUCCCUGUUAGAGAUAAAGUCUGUUCUCGUGAUGUCUGAGUGCCUAGUGGGCCGUUUUUGGUAAGCAGAACCGGCGCUGUGGGAUGAACCAAACGCUAGGUUAAAGAGCCAAAUACAUGUGUAUAGAUGGGGGGGAGAUCCUUGUGGUCUCUCCUGUUACCGCGUAUGACGCUAAUAAGAUCCCAUGGAAAAGGUGUUGGUUGCUAUAGACAGCAGGACGGUGGCCAUGGAAGUUGGAAUCCGCUAAGGAGUGUGUAACAACUCACCUGCCGAAGCAACUAGCCCUGAAAAUGGAUGGCGCUACAGCGUCGUGAUCUUAUACCUAGCCGAGUGGACAAGAAAGUAGGCAUUUUUGUUUCUGUGAGUAUGUCCACUCGAGUAGGGAGGCUCAGUGGUAGCGAAGAAGGCUUUAUGGAGUAAUCCUGGCUGGAGCUGCCACUGGUGCAGAUCUUGGUAGUAGUAGCAAAUACUCAAGUGAGGAGAUUCCUCACCACAGCCUUGAGGGCCAAAGUGGAGAAGGGUUCCAUGUGAACAGUGUUUGAACAUGGGUGAGUCGGUCCUAAGGGUGCAGGCGAAAGCCUGGUGUGAAACACCCGAAAGGGAAUGGGGUUAAUAUUCCCCAACCUAGAGCUGAGAGUGCAAGUCAGACUUUGGUUUGGCUUUGCCUGAGUGUGCGGUAACGCAGUCCAACUCCGAGACGUCGGUGCGCAGUCCUGGGGAGAGUUGUCUCUUCUGUCUAAGUGUGCAGUCUUCCUUGGAACAGGUUCGUCCUGAGAUAAGGAGAUUUGGCACCGAAUCGGUCCACAGUUCACGUGGGCUCCAGUGUACUGCCAUCGGCCCUUGAAAAUCGGAGCGACCAUAUUAAUUGUAUUCACUCAGCCUAGCCCGUACCCAGAAUCCGCAUCAGGUCUCCAAGGUGAACAGCCUCU
rnacentral:rRNA from 1 species